CACCGGAGUCCCGUUCGCCAUUGCUGCCUUUCCGCCAUUUCUCUUGCUCCCUGCUCGAACUCCCAGCGCCACCCACUAAGUCCCUGAGGAACUCUCCUCUCCGCUCCACUCCGUUUUCCCCAAGCCACCCAGCCGCUUGCUCCUCCGCGCUGCGUAAGAGCUUACUUGUGACCCACAAGAAGCACCGCCGCCGCCGGAGCACUGUCGGACCUAGCCGCUGCUCAAAGCCUUAGCCCCUCCGCCCAAGUCUGCUUCUUUCCGACCCCAAGCUUUCCUUGUAGGAAGAAGGUAAGCUGCCGACCCCUGGUCCGCCUCGUCCGACCCCUGUCCGCUUCGCCCGACCCCUCUUAUUCGCCCGACCCCGGUUCCGUCUCGCCCGACCCUGUCUGUUCCACCGACCCUUCUCCGCCUCGCCCGAGGGCUCGGCUGUAACCUUUUUCUUCAAACCGAGGGUGUAUGUGUAAAACUUGGGGACCCUUCAGCGUUGAGUCUGAGGAUCCCUAGCACACAAAAUCCUCUAGUUUAAGGGUCAGAUCAUAAGUGCCUUUCCUCCGACCCUUACCUCUUGAUCUCCACCAGCUCCCUUGAACCUUCCCACCCUCCUGCUUUGUGUCGCGAGUUUUUGGGCUCAGACUUGCAAGUGUUGCUGUUGAAAUAACCAUCUAUGCUAACUAAUGCAUUGCAUUCGUGUAGAGCUGAGCCUCGCCGACGGCUUCUACGAGCUGCACCCGGUGCGAGAAGACGACGGUGUAGCUGAGCUCCUGCCCUCAGAAGCCGAAGCUGCCCCAGAAGUCAAGCAGUUAUCUUCCUCCUUGCUCGAAGGCAAGCCCCGGUUGCAUGAAAACCCUGUGUUGUUUUACCAAACUUGCGCAUGCCUUCUUUAGCAUGCUUGUGCAUUUACGUAUAGGAGUUGUUUGGAACCCUAGAUGCAUAACGUAGCUCCCCUGAUCUGAACACUAGCUGUUGGACCGAGUAGCUGCUUGCUUAAAUAGGAAGCGGUAAAAGUUGAGUGAUUUCCUGUCACUCGCGAGUUGUAGGAGUAGGUUGUCACCCUGAGUAAAUGAGGAAUCUAAUGAUGACAUGGUUUUGUUGAUAUAUGCAUACCUUGGUUGGUUCUAUGAUUGCUUAGAAUAGGUUGCAAAACUUAGAUCGGAUAAUAAACUUAGAACCGGAGCUAAAACUUGAAAAUAGGGUUUUACUUAGUGCUUUUGGCAAACAAACCCCUCAGCCAAAAAGCCUUGCAUGUCUAGAAGUGUGGAGUAGCUUUACUCCUAUCGGUUAAGUCUUGUUGAGCUUAGUAGCUCAGCCCUGUUGUGGCUCCUGUUUUCAGGUGAAGUUGCUGCUCCCAACCUUUCUUCUGCUGGCACUUGGCCGCCCCAGCUCCCUCCGGGUUGGACGGUCGAGUGGGAUCCCUCCUCGGACGGCAAGGAGAGGGAUCAGUGAUGUCCCGGCUGGCCUCACCAGGGAUGUCCGACCCCGACGCUUUGCUUCCGCUACUGGUUUUACCUUCUGUUGUUUUUCUUGAAACCUUGUAAAACUCUGAUGUUUAUUUCAUAACCAAACUAAGUGGUUAAGUUGUUAACUCAGUGGACUUGUUGUAUUCUCUGGAACCGCUCACCUUCGUGUGGGUCUGCUAAAAUGGUCCUGUUUAAGUGGUUAAAUCGGAAGAAAUCCGACGGCACUUCGUGUUUACUCGGCUUAGGCAUGAACGUCGCGUAUCAUGCGGCUCAAUCAUGUUUAAUCAAGUAGAUCCGAAGUGGAUCCGCCACAGCUGGUACCAGAGCAGGUUUAGCGAUACAGAGAACACAACAAGCCCUAACACUUCUUUGAAAAGAUAAAAGUUGCAAGAAACUCUUUGAAAAAUCUCGUACGAUCGUUAAGGAUGACUUUAGUGCGAGAGGCCCUAGGGGAUUUUGGGGUCGUUUUAGGUGGCUAGUACUUUAUUUGGUUAUCUUGCUAACCCUUCCAGCACUUCGCCACGUUUAUCAUACGUGUGCCGAGUUCCGCAUCACGAGUAUGCGAGGGUUGAUAGGGAGUUCUGUUCAAAGGACCCUAUCAUCGUGGUUGUUUUCUCCCACGUCUAUCAUACGUGCGCAGGUUCCGUAUGUAAUCCAUACGAAGGUUGGUACGGUUCGAUUCCAACGAGCCUAUCAUCACGGUUGUUCGCCACGUCUAUUAUACGUGUGCUGAUUCCGCAUUGCAAGUAUGCGAAGGGUUAUAUGGUUCCAUUCAAAGGGAACCUAUUUCCAUGGUUGAGUGCUGUCCAUGCAGCCUUAAACGCAUGGGUGCCGUUCCUAUAGUGAGCGGUAAUGUUUGGGAACGCUUUUGUGGGUGCUGGCAUGAAAGGUUCGUGUGUUGGAGGUAUGCCCUAGAGGCAAUCAUAGAGAUGAUGAUAUUCCAUUUGUAUCCAUGAUUUGUAUAUUGUGUUCAUUGAAUAUCCAUUAACGACUACUUGAAUUGAUUUGCAAUUAUGUGAAUUGUAUGUGAAACUCUUUACUUGUAUGGUUAUUCUAAAGUUGUCCCUAGUCGGAGUUCAUGCGAGGACACACAUGAAUAUUAGACUAGCACAUGUAUUAGUUGAUGACUAUGUUUCACAAGUCAUGGACAUGGAGAUGUUGAACUAAAAGUGUGGACACAUGUGGAGACAUGUGCUAGGACUGACCCAACACGAGAAGUAGUUCUCUCUUUAAACAACAUAUACGCUUUGUCCUUAGACCUGAGAUUGUCACAUGUAUUCUAGAUGUGGAUCGACCUACUUAGGGGCUAUCAAACGCUACGCCGUAACAGGGUAGUUAUAAAGGUAGCUUUCGGGUUUGUCAAGAAGCAUGCUAUAAGACAUGGUCAAUCAAGAUGGGAUUUGCCCCUCUCUGAUUGAGAGAGAUAUCUCUAGGCCCCUCGAGUGAUCGGAUCCGAAAAUGCAUGGCCAUGCUACGUACGGUUAAGAGUUAACCUACAAAGGGAUUCCGAAUCACAGGAUCGAGAAAGAGCAGUCGGCUUGAAGCUAGACCAAAUAUCGUGAGGCAAAGGGAAUAUCAUGUAUAUUAUGUUGUGAUGGUUCGUCUGAUAUGAUCUUCGUGUGCGUAUAGGAGUUGGCACAUCUUGCUAGAGGCUGCUACCGACUAUUGGGCCGAGUAGGAGUACUCGGGCCAUGUCUAUACGUAUCCGAACCCAUAGGGUCACACACUUAAGGGGCUGGAAGCCCAAUUCGGAUCUGAUCCGAGUUGGAUUAGGUUUAGAAGUACUAAUGGGCCUCCGACCCAGAGGCCCGUCAGGAACCUCUAUAAAUAGAGGGGCGGGGGCGCCCUAGGGUUUACACCUUUAGGCGAAACACACCUGCCGCGCCUCCCACGCCCUCGCCUGUUGCAACUCGCGGAUCUAGCAGUCCGGCUUGCGACGCUUCCUCCCUGCACGUGUCGAUACCUUGGAGGUGUUGCGCCUGCAGCACUUGGACGAGCCGCCGACGAGCCACGACGAGCCGACGACGAGCCGCGGCACCGGAGGCGAUCUUGCUGCAUGUGGACGAGCUGCUGAGGAGCUGCUGGACGUGACGUGAUCGACUACGUACGACUACGUUGAUCGACUACGUAUGACUACGUGAUCGUCUUCACUGCAUCGACGCAUAUCUACAUCUUCCGCACCAGUAGUGCGUCGAGUGGUAAUCCCGUGAUCCUUAUACGGCAGCUCUUCCUGGUUUUACGCGGUAGAAAUUUUGAUUUGCGCUAGUGUAGCCUACCUCGUAUCCCAACAGUGGUAUCAGAGCCGUAGCUGCUUAGUUUUGGAUUCGGGAUGUGUGCAUAUGGAGAUAUGCGAGUUUUCCGUUUGAUCUAUGUCCUGGUUUCGUGCCCUUGCUGCAAUGGUAGUGUAACGACAUACUCCUACCGGUCGGUUUCCACCAUCGGAGUUAAGUGAUACACGUAAUUCCAGUUGCAGUGAGCAAAGAUCAAUGUGAUUGGUCGAAUCGAAAUCCAGGUUCAUACGCCAGUCGCAUGAGAUGUGCAAUAGUAGAUGGGAUCUACUACCGGGAUCGGAAUUUUGCCGUGUGCAUGUGCUUCGGUAAAACAGCCGUAACUUUUCGGUACGAUCUCGGAUCGAGGCGAAUUGUAUAUGAAAAUUGAUCUACAGGAAAAGUUUCGGCGAAAUUAGAUUUCCCAAAUUCAGCCUCUAAGAUGGAGUUUCGGGCCUCUGAAGUUUGGAACGUUAGAACGCCUAACUCUGUUUUGCAGGAUGUAUGUAUCUUGUGAUCAGUAUGACCCCUUUGUGUAUGUGAUGCAUGUGUGUAACUCAUUCGUGACCUGCGUGUCGCGCGUACGGCAACACGGCAGGAGCCAUAAGUGUUGUCACCUUAAUGUAUUUAAUGGUCUGCGUACCAAUCUGUGAUGAUCCAAGCAACUAUGUAAUCUUCAUUACUAGCUUCCUUACUAGCUAUUAGGCGUAAUAGCAUGUUCUAGUUCUUGGAGGACUCAUCACCAGAAGGAUGGCGCACAUGGAACAUGGAGAUGGAGAUCACCAUGGUGAACAGAUUCUAUGGAGAUGGAGAUCGCCAUAUGAAAAUGGGCCAUACUGUGUCACAACUGUGUGAAUGCUAUUCUAUUUAUGUUUUACUUUCUGCAUGCUGUGAUGUUAGAAGUAGAACGAUCCCUCACAAAGUUUAAGUUCGUAUGCGCUCCCAACUAAAACUUGCACCGUCCUAUGUCUUGUACAAUUAGUGGUGGGUCUAUGAAAUUAGGGUGCCACUAGUUUUCCUUGACUAGACGGGUUUGUGUCGGACACUUACACGCAUAAGGGUUGGUUUGCUUAACAAGGUUAUCUUAGCGGUUAAGGACCUUGGGGCAUAAAGGUUGGGCGCCGAGACAUAGAGAUGUCACCCAACAACAGGAGUCAUAUAUGAUAUGAUUAGCAAAAGUUGCUUACCGAUCUACCUCGUUUGCUAGCGGUGAUGCUAAAGCUCACUAGUAGACUUAUUAGUUGUGGAUCCUGAAUCACUAAGUUUCAAUAGAGGGAUAUUGAUUUUAGUGGGAGUAGAUUCUGUUAAAAUAGUUUAAUAUGAUUUACUCUAUCAUGGAUACAUUUGUCUUAGUGUAUUUUGCAUUACUUUGUUGUAGAUUAAAUGACACCUAGCAGCACUACACCGUUUGCUUUGCGUUCGGUCCUUGAGAAGGACAAGUUGAAUGGAACAAAUUACUCGGAUUGGAUCCAUAACCUGAGAAUUGUUCUCAGGGCUGAGAAAAAGGAAGAUGUUCUAGACAACCCACUACCAGAAGAACCUGCUGAUGAUGCACCCGCUGCUGCUAAGAAUGCUUACAAGAAAGCAUGUGAUGCUAACCUCGAAGUAAGCUGCCUUAUGCUUGCUUGCAUGGAACCCGAGCUGCAGAUGCAGUUUGAAACAAACCAUGAGGCUCACGAUAUGAUCGUGGUGCUUAGAGACAUGUUCCAAACACAGGCCAGGACUGAAAGGUUCAAUGUGUCUAAGGCCUUUGUUGAGAGCAAGCUAGCAGAAGGCGCAGCAGUAGGACCACACGUAAUCAAGAUGGUUGGUUACACUCAACGGUUGGAGAAGCUGGGCUUCCCACUGGGCCAAGAGUUGGCCACUGAUUUCAUUCUUUCGUCUCUUCCGCCUAGCUAUGGGAACUUCAUCUCAAACUAUCAUAUGCAUGGGACGGAGAAGGGUUUGAAUGAGCUGUGUGGCAUGCUUAAAACAGCAGAGGCUGACAUCAAGAAAAGCGCUAGUACCAGCCAUGUGAUGGCUAUACAGAACAAGCCUAGCUUUAAGAAGAAGGGCAAUUCUUGGAAGAAGAAGGGCAAGGCUGGAACGUCUAAGCCAAACCCAGCGCCCAAGGUUAAAGCUGGAUCUGGACCUGCUCCAGACAAAGAGUGCUUUUACUGUCAUGAACUUGGUCACUGGAAGAGAAACUGCAAGCAGUACCUAGCUUCCUUGAAGAAUGGCGGAAGUAAGAGUACUUCUACCGCAGGUACGCUUGUUGUUAAUGUUAUAGACAACAUUUUUCUCGCUGAUACAAUUAUUAAUUCUUGGGUAUUUGAUACCGGAUCGGUUGCUCAUAUUUGCAAUUCGAUGCAGGGAAUGAUAAGAAGUAGAAGCGUGGAAAAAGGAGAAGUUGAUUUCCGCGUGGGCAAUAAUGCAAGAGUUGCUGCGUUGACCGUCGGGACGAUGCAACUUCACCUCCCGUCAGGAUUUAUUAUGGAGUUGAAUAAUUGUUAUUUCGUUCCUAGUUUAAGUCAAAACAUUUUGUCUCCUUCAUGCUUGAUGAAGGAUGGUUAUUCAUUUGCGAGUGAAAACAAUGGUUGUGUGAUCUCUAAGAAUGAUAUGUUUAUGGCUUUUGCACCCAUUGUGAAUGGAUUAUUUAUUUUAAAUCUUGAUGGUUCACCUGUCUGUAACGUAAGUGCUAAAAGGUCUCGGCCUAAUGAUUUGAGUCCUACCUACUUGUGGCAUUGUCGUUUGGGUCAUAUAAGUGAAAAGCGUAUGAAGAAGCUCCAUUCUGAUGGACUUCUAACUUCGUUUGAUUUUGAAUCAUACGAGACAUGUGAGGCUUGCUUGCUAGGCAAGAUGACCAAGACGCCUUUCACAGGAUUUCAUGAGAGAGCAGUAGACUUGUUGGAACUCGUACAUAGUGAUGUAUGCGGACCAAUGAGCACGACGGCUAGAGGAGGAUUCCAAUACUUCAUAACUUUCACUGAUGAUUUUAGUAGAUAUGGCUAUGUCUACUUGAUGAGGCACAAGUCUGAAACCUUUGAAAAGUUCAAGGAAUUUCAGAAUGAAGUUGAAAAUCAGCGUGGCAAGAAAAUUAAGGCCUUACGAUCUGAUCGUGGAGGCGAGUAUUUGAGCCACGAGUUUAGCAAUCAUCUAAAGAGUUGCGAAAUUGUUCCACAACUUACGCCGCCUGGAACACCUCAGAGAAACGGUGUAUCUGAGCGACGUAAUCGAACUUUGUUAGACAUGGUUCGAUCAAUGAUGAGCCAGUCGGACCUACCGUUGUCAUUUUGGGGAUACGCUCUAGAAACAGCAGCUUUCACACUUAAUAGGGUACCAUCUAAAUCCGUAGUUAAGACACCAUAUGAGAUAUGGACUGGAAAGGUUCCUAGUUUGUCUUUUCUAAAGAUUUGGGGAUGUGAAGUCUUUGUCAAGCGACUUCAGUCGGACAAGAUCACACCCAAGUCGGAUAAGUGCAUUUUCGUGGGAUAUCCAAAGGAAACUUUGGGAUAUUAUUUCUACAACCGAUCAGAAGGCAAAGUGUUUGUCGCUCGGAACGGGGUUUUCCUAGAGAAAGAGUUUCUCAAAGGAGAAAAGAGUGGAAAGACAGUGCAUCUUGAAGAAGUUCAAGAUGAGCCGAUCGGGCAAGAAUCAAUGAGUGAUGCUAACGUAGCAGAACAAGUUGAGAUACCCAUGGCAAGAGAAGCACCGCCACAACCACGAAGGUCGGCAAGGCUCCACGAAAUGCGGGAAAUAUUAUUGUUGGACAAUGAUGAGCCUGCGACAUAUGCAGAAGCAAUGAUGGACCCAGACUCUGAAAAAUGGCAGAGUGCCAUGCAGUCCGAAAUAGAGUCCAUGGGAGACAAUCAAGUUUGGAACUUGGUUGACCCGCCUGAUGGUGUUAAAGCCAUAGAGUGCAAGUGGAUCUAUAAGAAGAAAAAGGACAUGGAUGGAAAUGUUCACAUCUAUAAAGCACGACUUGUCACAGAAGGUUUUCGACAAGUUCAAGGAGUUGACUACGACGAGACCUUCUCGCCCGUAGUGAUGCUUAAGUCCAUUCGGAUUAUUCUAGCUAUAGCUGCAUAUUUCGAUUAUGAGAUAUGGCAGAUGGAUGUCAAGACAGCUUUCCUGAAUGGAAACCUAGCUGAGGACGUGUAUAUGAUACAGCCCGAGGGUUUUGUCGAUCCGAAAAAUGCUGGAAAGGUAUGCAAGCUUCAGAGAUCCAUUUAUGGAUUGAAGCAAGCAUCUAGGAGUUGGAACAUUCAUUUUGAUGAAGUGGUCAAAGGGUUUGAUUUCACCAAGAACGAAGAAGAGUCUUGUGUAUACAAGAAGGUUAGUGGGAGCUCUGUAGUAUUUCUAAUCUUAUAUGUGGAUGACAUAUUACUGAUUGGAAAUAACAUUCCUAUGCUUGAGUCCGUAAAGACUUCACUGAAAAAUAGUUUUUCGAUGAAGGACUUAGGGGAAGCGGCAUAUAUUCUGGGCAUUAAGAUCUAUAGAGAUAGAUCGAGAAGGCUUAUAGGUUUAAGCCAAGAUACUUACAUUGACAAAGUGUUGAAGCGGUUCAGCAUGGAAGAGGCAAAGAAAGGGUUCUUGCCUAUGUCACAUGGCAUACAUCUCAGCAAGACUUAGUGUCCUUCGACUGCUGAUGAGCGGGAUCGCAUGAGUAGAGUGCCAUAUGCCUCUGCUAUUGGAUCUAUCAUGUAUGCAAUGAUAAGUACUCUCCAAGAUGUUUCAUAUGCGCUAAGUAUGACAAGCAGACACCGAUCUGAUCCAGGUGAGAGUCACUGGACAGCGGUGAAAAACAUUCUUAAGUACUUGAGAAGGACUAAAGAUAUGUUCCUCGUCUAUGGAGGUGAGGAGGAGCUCGUUGUAACAGGUUACACCGAUGCUAGUUUCCAAACCGACAGAGAUGAUUCAAAGUCACAAUCAGGAUUUGUGUUCACGCUAAAUGGUGGUGCUGUUAGUUGGAAGAGUUCCAAGCAGGAGACGGUGGCCGAUUCUACGACAGAAGCCGAGUACAUCGUGGCUUCGGAAGUCGCGAAGGAAGGUGUUUGGAUAAGGAAUUUCCUCAUUGAGCUUGGUGUGUUCCCGAAUGCGUCCAGCCCAUUGAAUCUCUACUGUGAUAAUAAUGGUGCAAUUGCACAAGCAAAGGAGCCAAGGAACCACCAGAAGAACAAACACGUAAUGCGGCGAUUUCAUCUCAUUCGAGACUUCGUUAACCGGGUGAGAUCAAGAUAUGCAAAAUACACACGGAUCUGAACAUUUCUGAUCCGUUGACAAAACCAUUCCCGCAGGCGAAGCAUGAUGCGCAUGUAAGAGCUAUGGGUAUUAGGUACCUUCUAGAUUGACUCUAGUGCAAGUGGGAGACUGUUGGAGGUAUGCCCUAGAGGCAAUCAUAGAGAUGAUGAUAUUCCAUUUGUAUCCAUGAUUUGUAUAUUGUGUUCAUUGAAUAUCCAUUAAAGGCUACUUGAAUUGAUUUGCAAUUAUGUGAAUUGUAUGUGAAACUCUUUACUUGUAUGGUUAUUCUAAAGUUGUCCCUAGUCGGAGUUCAUGCGAGGACACACAUGAAUAUUAGACUAGCGCAUGUAUUAGUUGAUGACUAUGUUUCACAAGUCAUGGACAUGGAGAUGUUGAACUAAUAGUGUGGACACAUGUGGAGACAUGUGUUAGGACUGACCCAACACGAGAAGUAGUUCUCUCUUUAAACAACAUAUACGCUUUGUCCUUAGACCUGAGAUUGUCGCAUGUAUUCUAGAUGUGGAUCGACCUACUUAGGGGCUAUCAAACGCUACGCCGUAACAGGGUAGUUAUAAAGGUAGCUUUCGGGUUUGUCAAGAAGCAUGCUAUAAGACAUGGUCAAUCAAGAUGGGAUUUGCCCCUCUCUGAUUGAGAGAGAUAUCUCUGGGCCCCUCGAGUGAUCGGAUCCGAAAAUGCAUGGCCAUGCUACGUACGGUUAAGAGUUAACCUACAAAGGGAUUCCAAAUCACAAGAUCGAGAAAGAGCAGUCGGCUUGAAGCUAGACCAAAUAUCGUGAGGCAAAGGGAAUAGCAUGUAUAUUAUGUUGUGAUGGUUCGUCUGAUAUGAUCUUCGUGUGCGUAUAGGAGUUGGCACAUCUUGCUAGAGGCUGCUACCGACUAUUGGGCCGAGUAGGAGUACUCGGGCCAUGUCUAUACGUAUCCGAACCCAUAGGGUCACACACUUAAGGGGCUGGAAGCCCAAUUCGGAUCUGAUCCGAGUUGGAUUAGGUUUAGAAGUACUAGCUUGUUGCAACUUGCGGAUCUGACCCAGAGGCCCUCGCCUGUUGCAACUUGCGGAUCUAGCAGUCCGGCUUGCGACGCUUCCUCCCUGCACGUGUGGAUACCUUGGAGGUGUUGCGCCUGCAGCACUUGGACGAGCCGCCGACGAGCCACGAUGAGCCGACGACGAGCCGCGGCACCGGAGGCGAUCUUGCUGCACGUGGACGAGCUGCUGAGGAGCUGCUGGACGUGACGUGAUCGACUACGUACGACUACGUUGAUCGACUACGUACGACUACGUGAUCGUCUUCACUGCAUCGACGCAUAUCUACAUCUUCCGCACCAGUAGUGCGUCGAGUGGUAAUCCCGUGAUCCUUAUACGGCAGCUCUUCCUGGUUUUACGCGGUAGAAAUUUUGAUUUGCGCUAGUGUAGCCUACCUCGUAUCCCAACAUCGUGUGGUGGUGUUUUCUGUAGGUACACUAACCGCGUUCGCUUAGGAGGCGUUGCUAGAACCAACUAGCUAUUAUAGGGAGAGACGUACUUGUUGCCUUGCCACCGGCACUGACCGCGUAAGACCCAAGUUUUGGGCAGUUGUUUUGGUUAAGAGUGAGGUAGGCCGUGCAUGCGUCAUAAGCUAAAAUCUGUAAAGUCUUUCUCCUCAAAAGUAACCUUGCUCGGAAAAGCUCUUCUUCGGUUUUAAGGAUUUCUAGUUUCUUCCAGUUGCUCUCGGUUACAACCGAAUGCUUCUCUAUCCGACCCCUGACCUUUGGAGUCUAUCUCACGUGGUUUUGGUUUCUUGGUUCCAGAUGGCCGUCCCCGGACAUGUUCUGUUUGGAGCGGAUGGUACCUUCCAGUCAACUUGUCUACACUUCGAGGGCUUCCCCACGAUUUUGUGGGACACCUUGAAAUGGUUCGGGUACCAGUCCCCACCAUUAUACGCAGGACGACUGUACCUGGAGCAGGGCAUCCAGACGUGCAACGUACAGGCGGUGGUACCUCCUCCUCCUGUGCGGCCCGACUGGCCCUCCUUCGGGAUAUCAGCCUAUGGUCUUGCUCCGGAGGACACCUGGGAGUCCGCCGCUCUCCAGCUCCUUACCCAGUUUUGUCAGCUGCACCCCCUGGAGGUCACACUAGACCCUAUCGGCCUGUUCCCCGCUAGGAACCUGUUGGAUCCGGCGUGGCUCGACCGCGUCGGAAAUAUCGAGGUGCUAGCCACUACCUACUCCAUGGUCACCAUCUCCACCAACGUCAGAUGUAUGACAGCCCUCUAUCGGCUGAUCGAGCUCCAAGGAAGAGCCAUGACCAUCCUUGCCCAGACCGCAGUGGAUGCUCAAGGACACCUCCAGGCAGCUAGGAGAGACAUGGUAGGCCAAACCUACCAGCUUAUCCAACGAGGCGUUUAGGUACAUGACAUGCAAGACAGGAUCUCCGAGCUCGAAGGAGAAGUAGCCGACCUGGUGGACGGCAUGAUCGAGCUGUCAGAGGAGAAAAUGGAAAUAGAAAUGGAGCUGGCGGUUGCCAAUGCUCACCUGGACGAGCAUCAAGUUGAGCUCGACGAUAUGCACGCCCUCCAUAUGCAACUAGAAGCUCAAGAGGACCCUGAGGAGGAUGAGGGAGCGUCCAGUAUGGACAUCGAAGAAGACGGCGCCCCUUCUCCUACUCAUAGUGUUCAUUUGUAGAUGAAGAGUGCAAGGGACUCAUUCUUUUGUUGUACUCCUCGGCAGCUUAAAUUUUGGAAAGAAUUGUAAUAGGUUAGCCUUGAGUCGAGUACUCCCUGCGUUGGAAUACCUCUGUAAAGAUCCCAAUGAAGUCAAUUCCCGAGCCUGACCUUUAACUCUUGCAAAGUGUUGGAGUGUUAGACUAAGUGAGUUGUGCCGCGACCACACACGCUAUUUUCUGUGGGUCUGUUCAAGUUGGCCGACCCCGGUUCGCGAGAUCGGAUGCGCCGACCCCUCGAGGCCGACCUUUCGAGGCAGUCUCCGCCUCGCCCGACCCCUUUUUAGUGUGGAUCGUUGCCGACCCUUUUUCUCGGGAGGAUCGGCUCGCCCGACCCCUUUUUAGUGUGGAUCGUUGCCGACCCUUUUUCUCGGGAGGAUCGCCUAGCCCGACCCCGUGGCUUAAGAUCGGAUUCUAGGAGUCUGGGUAGGGUGUGGUUCGUCCGAAGUUGAGUACAAGGCUAAGAUAAACGCUAACUAACCUGAUGAUGAGAAGAGUGUAUCUCCCUUAUGAGGACGUGUGUUGCAUUAUCAGCAAGAGUUGUAUUGGAGAAAUUGACUUAUGCGUUCCAUCUGUUGGAGUACUUCUAAGAUUAUAAAAUUAAUGGAACGUUAACUCUUGCAGAUGGCACAUUGCACCAGAUCUGGUUCUGUGCCCGGCAGCAGCGAACAGAGAUAGGAUCUUCCCCCACCCCGCCCUCGUCUCCACUAGAGGCAAUCCUAGCGGCUUAAACCGAGCUGCUGAGGCAUCUUGUACAAGGACAACAGCAGCAGCCCCAUGGUGGAAGGGCUCAGCAGCAGCCACAUGUUGCUCGCUAUGAGGACUUUUUGGGGACGUAGCCCCCUUUGUUUUAGAAGACACAAGAACCGCUCGACGCCGACGCCUGGGUUCGUACGAUUGAAUCCAAGUUCGAGCUUCUCACCGCCCCGUGCCCCGACCAUAACAAGGCUCGGUUCGCAGCUCAAUAGCUGCGUGGCUCCGCACGGCUCUGGUGGGACCACUACCAUGCCAUGUUGCCGGCUGGCCAUGUGGUCAGCUGGAACGAGUUCAAGACUGUGUUUAAAGCGCAUCACAUCCCGGAAGGUCUCCUGGAGUGCAAGCUCAACGAGUUCCUGGCUCUUACCCAGGGAACUCGAGAUGUCCUGCACUACGCCCAAGCUUUCAACGAUCUGUGCCAUUAUGCCGGCUAUCAUGCGGACACAGACGAGAAGAAGCGGGACAGAUUCCACCGAGGACUGAGCUUGGAGCUCAGAGAAAGGUUGAACCCCAUCAAGGUGGACACCUACAACAAGUUGGUCAAUCUGGCCAUCUCUCAAGAGGAUUGCAUGCAGGCUCUCAAAGCCGACCAGAAGAGGAAGGCCUCCGUGGCAUUUCCGAGCCAGCUAACCCGAAGGUUCAGGAUGGUUCCUCCACAAGCGCGCAGCCGACCCCAGCAGUCGGGAAGGUGGAUUGCCCGACCCCUACCAGUAGCAGUGCCCCGUUUUUCCGGCUUCCAACCACAGGCGCCCCGGCCGACCUCACCAGCACCACCCCGCCCUGCAACUAGUAGCCGCUGCUUCACCUGCGGCAAUGAAGGGCAUUUUGCUAAGGACUGCCCCAGGAACAAGAAUCAGCAGCAAGGCCAGAACCCCAUGGCGAACAGAGGAAGAAGGCCCAAGGUGCAAGUUCGACAAGGCUGGCUCAACUACACCAGCUUGACCGAACUCCCCGAAGGUGCGCCAGUAAUGACGGGUACUUUCCUUGUCUUAAAUCAAGCUGUUGUUGUGUUGUUUGAUUCGGGAGCCUCUCAUAGCUUUAUCGGGAGUAGGGCUAGAGAAAGAUGUGAGCUGGAUGUCGGUCACACUAAGGAAUCCUAUGUGAUCGCCACUCCGGGAGGGAAGAUAGCCUCGGAUCAGAUCGUUACUCUUGUACCUCUCCAGCUAGGCCCAACUCUUUUCAAGGAGAAUCUUAUCAUCCUCGACCUGGAAGGAAUAGAUAUCAUCCUCGGGAUGGAUUGGAUGACCCGGCACCAAGUGGUCUUAAACCCAGCCGCUCGAACUCUCCACAUCAACUCACCCUUCCAUGGUAGUUCUACCCUAUCCUUGAAACAUCCUGAGUCCGCACUCCCUUGUGCGUACCCUCUAUCGGAAGCCCGACUAGAAAGCCUCCCUGUUGUCUGUGAGUACCCUGAUGUGUUCCCCGAAGACUUGCCUGGCAUGCCACCUGAUAGAGAGGUGGAGUUUUCCAUAGAGUUGAUCCCCGGCACCGCACCGAUAUCCAAGAGACCCUAUCGGAUGCCACCUGCUGAAUUGGCCGAGUUGAAGACCCAGUUGCAUGAUCUGUUGGAAAAAGGCUUCAUCCAACCCAGCACAUCACCUUGGGGUUGCUCGCCCUGUUUGUGAAGAAGAAGGAUGGCAGUCUCCGCAUGUGUGUGGACUACCGACCCCUCAAUGCUGUGACCGUCAAGAACAAGUACCCACUGCCACGCAUUGAUGUCUUGUUUAAUCAGUUAGCUGGAGCAAAGGUGUUCUCCAAGAUCGAUCUUCGUUCAGGUUAUCACCAGAUCAAGAUCCGACCCUGCGACAUACCCAAAACAGCCUUCUCCACAAGAUAUGGACUAUACGAGUACCUGGUCAUGUCUUUUGGACUCACCAAUGCACCCGCCUAUUUCAUGUACCUCAUGAACUCGGUGUUCAUGCCCGAGCUGGACAAGUUUGUUGUGGUGUUCAUUGAUGAUAUCCUCGUGUACUCGAAGAGCGAAGAAGAACAUGCCGAUCAUCUUCAUGUAGUUCUCCAAUGGCUGAGAGAUCACCAACUCUAUGCCAAGUUCUCCAAGUGUGCGUUUUGGUUAGAUAGUGUCAAGUUUUUGGGACACACUAUCUCCAAGGAUGGUAUAGCCGUCGACCCCAGUAAGGUACAGGAAGUUAUGGACUGGAAGCCUCCUACCUCAGUGCACCAGAUCAGAAGUUUCCUUAGACUGGCUGGCUACUAUCGGCGCUUCAUACCGGAUUUCUCCAAGAUAGCUAAGCCGAUGACAGAGUUGUUGAAGAAAGAGGUUAGGUUCGCAUGGAGCGACAAGUGUGAAGAAGCCUUCAAGACUCUGAAGCACUUGCUGACCACAGCCCCAGUUUUGGCACAGCCCGACCCUUCUAGGCCGUUUGACGUGUACUGUGACGCCUCUGGCACUGGACUUGGGUGUGUUCUUAUGCAAGACAACCGAGUCAUUGCCUAUGCCUCACGGGCAUUACGACCUCAUGAGCUGAACUACCCGACCCAUGAUCUUGAGUUGGCAGCAGUGAUCCAUGCCUUAAAGAUAUGGAGACACUAUCUGAUGGGCACCCACUGCAACAUCUACACCGACCACAAGAGCCUCAAGUACAUCUUCACUCAAGCCGACCUCAACAUGCGCCAAAGAAGAUGGUUAGAGUUGAUAAAAGACUAUGACUUGGAAGUUCACUAUCGUCCCGGCAAGGCCAACGUGGUGGCCGAUGCUCUUAGUCGCAAGAACUGUUGCAAGUGCUUGUUGGCAACAACCUUCACCGAGACUUUGUGUCACGAGAUGGGAAAACUUAGUUUGGAAAUUGUUCCCCAUGGAACCCUCAAACACAUCACCCUUGACUCAGAUUUGGAAGACCAAAUACGGUCAGCACAAGUGGAGGAUGAGGAAGUAAAGCGGAUCAUCAGGAAUAUCUCAUUGAAGGAUGAAGGGUAUAGGCAUUUUCGACAAGAUGAGACUGGGAAGGUGUAUUAUGGAAACCGACUGGUUGUACCAGCUAACCCCAACCUUAAGAAGCAAAUCUUAGAUGAAGCUCACCUCUCCAAGUUCUCAAUCCAUCCUAGCAGCAAUAAGAUGUACCAUGAUCUCCGCCAAACCUUUUGGUGGAGUGGAAUGAAGUCGGAAAUUGCCCGUUAUGUUUCAGAAUGUGAUACCUGUCAACGUGUCAAAGCCAGCCAUCUAAAGGUAGCAGGUACCCUGCAGCCCCUACCUAUUCCCUCUUGGAAAUGGGAAGACAUCAGCAUGGACUUCAUAGUUGGACUGCCCCAUACAUCACAGCGACAUGACUCCAUCUGGGUUAUAGUGGACCGCCUGACCAAGACCGCCCACUUCCUUCCUGUCCGCACCACCCACACAGUCAAGCAGUAUGCAGAGUUGUACCUCGACCGCAUAGUUUCCCUACACGGUGUACCGAAGACCAUCAUCUCGGAUCGAGGAGUUCAGUUUGUGGCACGCUUUUGGGAACAGCUACAAGCAUCCAUGGGCACCAAGCUCAUCCGUAGCUCAACAUAUCAUCCUCAAACCGAUGGUCAAACCGAAAAAGUUAAUUAGAUCCUUGAAGACAUGUUGAGAGCUUGUGUCAUCCAUUAUGACAAAAAUUGGGACAAGUGCUUGCCCUUGGCAGAGUUCUCCUACAACAACAGCUACCAGACCAGUUUGAAGAUGGCACCGUUUGAAGCUUUAUAUGGCCAGAGAUGUCGGACACCAUUGAACUGGUCCCAAGCAGGAGAAAGACAGAUCUAUGGCCCUAACUUAGUGGCAGAAGCCGAAGAGCAAGUAAGGGUAAUUCAAGCAAAUCUCAAGGCUGCCCAAUCUUGACAAAAGAGUUAUUCCGACAGGCGAAGAAGGCCCCUACAGUUCAACAUUGGUGAUCAUGUGUAUCUUCGAGUUUCCCCGACCAAAGGAGUGCAAUGGUUUGGAGUGAAAGGAAAAUUGGCUCCCCGCUACAUUGGCCCUUAUGAGAUUGUGGAGAUCUGUGGACCCGUUGCUUACCGGAUCCAACUCCCAGAACGGCUAUCGGCCAUACACGAUGUUUUCCAUGUGUCUCAACAGAAGAAAUGUGUCCAAGUUCCAACCGAGAUCUUAGAGCCAGAGCAGCUACAGAUCGAGCCCGACCUAACCUACGUCGAGUACCCAGACCGAGUUCUUGACCAGAAAGAGAGGCAUACCCGGCGCCAAAUGGUCAAAAUGUACAAGAUCCUCUGGAGAAACCACACGGAGGAUGAAGCAACAUGGGAAACAGACGAGUAUCUGAACAAGCACUUUCCAGGUUUUCUGUCUCGUCAAGGAGGUAAGAACGGCACACCCUACUUUUAUACCUGAAUCUCGGGACGAGAUUCUUUUUAAGAGGGGUAGGCUGUGACGACCGACCCCAAAUCUUCCAAGUUAAUGCUAAUCCGAGCCCCUGAUCACCUGCCUUAGCUUUCAAGCCCAAGUGAUCAACCUACAGACCGGUCCCGACCCCUGAGACCCGACCCCUCCGCUGGUCUCCAGUUCCGACCCCGCCGACCCCAACUCACCGUCGGAUCCUUCUAAGUCUUUCCCAACACCUCCCUUCAGUCUGACCGGUGGACCCACGAGAUCUUUUCUCCCAGAUCCCCCGUGACAAGCGCACUCGAGUUGCAUGCCCGCUUCAGAGUUUCCCCGCCGCGUGGCUCAACUUCUCCGAUGCCCGCCGCUCCGCCUCGUCUCUGGCCCAUGACCGAAUGGAUUCUCACGCCCCCUUCCCCAAUCACAGCGGAAGCCCCUUUGCAACCUUUUUGCAGUACCUCGCCACCCGCGCCCAUCAUCACAUCGCCAGAUCCUGGCUGCAGAGCCCGAUGUCGCGCGUCUUUUCCGUCACUUCGACACAGUCGCGCCGCCUGGUCUUCGCUACCCGACGAUUCCUCCUCCGCCAACCCUGACCACGGCAGCGACAGCUCCUUUCCCCGCCCUGUCAGAAGCCGCCCGACAAUCUGUUGCUCCGCGCUCGCCCGCGCGCACGCGGCUGCCCGUCUUCUCACCUGUGCGCCCUCGAUUCUGGCGUCGUUAACCCGGUCACUUCCAUCAACACCGCACGACGACACCCGCCUCCGCCAAAUCUCAACCACCGGCAUACCCGCUCCUGCGCCGCCCUGACGCUAGAGCCCAAUGACCGUUGGCGUCAUCCCCGAAGUCUUGCUCCACCGCCCUCAUCGCUCAAUCGCCGCCCAGGCAGAGCACUCCAUUGCUUCUUCCCCGGCCUUCGCGCUGCUCCCCUUCUCACUCCCGCGCCGCUUUCCUUCUCACUUCCCAGCCACUAUAAAAGGGAAUGCGCGAGCCCCACUGGAGUCCCCUUCGCCAUUGCUGCCUUUCCGCCAUUUCUCUUGCUCCCUGCUCGAACUCCCAGCGCCACCCACUAAGUCCCUGAGGAACUCUCCUCUCCGCUCCACUCCGUUUUCCCCAAGCCACCCAGCCGCUUGCUCCUCCGCGCUGCGUAAGAGCUUACUUGUGACCCACAAGAAGCACCGCCGCCGCCGGAGCACUGCCGGACCUAGCCGCUGCUCAAAGCCUUAGCCCCUCCGCCCAAGUCUGCUUCUUCCCGACCCCAAGCUUUCCUUGUAGGAAGAAGGUAAGCUGCCGACCCCUGGUCCGCCUCGUCCGACCCCUGUCCGCUUCGCCCGACCCCUCUUAUCCGCCCGACCCCGGUUCCAUCUCGCCCGACCCUGUCUGUUCCGCCGACCCUUCUCCGCCUCGCCCGAGGGCUCGGCUGUAACCUUUUUCUUCAAACCGAGGGUGUAUGUGUAAAACUUGGGGACCCUUCAGCGUUGAGUCUGAGGAUCCCUAGCACACCAAAUCCUCUAUUUUAAGGGUCAGAUCAUAAGUGCCUUUCCUCCGACCCUUACCUCUUGAUCUCCACCAGCUCCCUUGAAC
rnacentral:lncRNA from 1 species